GAUCCUGGCUCAGGAUGAACGCUAGCUACAGGCUUAACACAUGCAAGUCGAGGGGCAGCAUGAACUUAGCUUGCUAAGUUUGAUGGCGACCGGCGCACGGGUGAGUAACACGUAUCCAACCUUCCGUUUACUCAGGGGAUAGCCUUUCGAAAGAAAGAUUAAUACCUGAUAGUAUGGUGAGAUUGCAUGAUAACACCAUUAAAGAUUUAUUGGUAAACCGAUGGGGAUGCGUUCCAUUAGGUAGG
rnacentral:rRNA from 1 species